AUUUCCCCGGAGACCGCUGUCGUCCCGCCGACUGCAAGCGACGCUUCCUUGACUUGUUAGGCUUGGCAGCAAUGUGGAACCAAAACAAGCCCAGAGGAACAUUACGCACCGACUCAAGCACUUGGCCGGGAAACAAACAGUCAAGCACUGAGAGCGGACUCAGCUGGAAGUGCCCCUGGGUAAUGUUGCAAUUUUCCAUGCCAACAAAGCAAGAACAAAUGUGCUCAAAAGUACAUUCAAGCUACACUAGUUCAAUGGUAAUUUACAUUGGAUUUGUCAUACCCAGGCUACCGAUUAGCAUUGGCGAUUUUACAGUACAUUGCGUGCUCAGCACCCCCAAAUUUUGGUAAUGAAAACCACCUUACAUUCACCUUGCAAUCAAUCAAAGUUUAUUUAUAUAGUGUUAUGUACAGAGGAGGGACGGAGGUGGUUCACAAGGUUUAGUUAAACCUUUAAUGAUUACAUGGCGUGUGUAUGCUACUCUAAGUGAAUGAGUGUUGACUAUGUGUAAUAUUAAUCGUGGAAAUGUUACCAGGGUUUGUUGUCUGUGAGUGUUGGUUGUAUCCUUCGUCGAAUCCAGAGGGGCAAGGCGAAGAGGAA